GUCAUGUGCGACAAAUACCAAGUGUCAGGCAAGAGAGACCGAUGCAGUUUGUGCAUUAGGUUUCGCUGCCUGGGAUGUGAGGGUGAGGCUUAUAUCAGGUCCUGCCUAAUCUAAACAGUUGGACACAAAGCUAAAGAGAUGCACAAAUGCAGUACCAGGCAGUCAGCCACCCAGUGCCAUCCAA